GGAGGGUGCAGACCCUUGGCGCCUUACCGGAGCGCUGCACCGCCGCGUCCGCAGGGCCUCUUCCGUCCUUCACUCCCAUCCACCGGCGGGGGGAAGGGGGAGGGAGAGGGAAGGGAGGAAGGAGGGAGGGAGGGAAGGAGGGAGGGGAGGAUGGCGCGCUGGGCCCGGUCCUCGGGAGGGGGAGGGGAGGGAAGCGGGCGGGCUCUUCAGCCGUUCCGGGGCUCGAGCCCAAGCCCAGCGCUCGCGGUUUCUGUUGCUCGCGCCCGAGCGCUUCCUUCCUGCCCUUUCUCGUUCUCUAGACCCUCGGGCCGCUGUUCAAUCGCUCCCUCACUCGCUAUCUCGGCCGUCGGACUCCGCCGCCGCCCCGCCGCUCCAGCUCCGUCUGUCACAGGAGCUGCCCCAGCGCCCUGACGUCACCGCGCCGCCGCCGCCCCAGACCCGCCAGGAAGAGGGAGGGGAGCGGAGGAGGGGCUGCGGCGCAUGCGCGGGCGCGGCUGGGCCCCUGAGUCGCCGUCUUCGUCCUGGCGAGCGGGCGAUCGCGGCCAGUGCUACUUGGCGGUACGGAGUGGCCGGUGGGCGAGCGUGCGCACGAGGCCCUGCUUUUCACGUCCCUCGUGCCGCUAUAACCUUGGAAGAGCCCCUUUUUUCCUCGACUCUGUUGUGUCCCCUCACGAACUCUGGUCCCACUCACCUAACCGCCCCGCUUUUGCCCCACUGCAUGCUGCGCUCUCUCCGCUUCCCCGGCGGACAGCGGGGACCAGUCGGCGCCCCUGCAUCCCGGCCCCGUCACACACCACGCAUCAGAGACUCUAGAAGUCUCGAAACUGACUCCCAAAGAAAGACCUGGAACUUUAUCCCUACAAGGAAUAUCGGCGAUUGUGGGUGAUCAUCUCCUGGAAGCAAGAAGUCAUGGAGGAGAACUCUUCUGCAGGAUAGGAGGAGAAAAAGGUGGAGGAAUCCCUCACUUCAAAUGAGAUUAGAUUAAAACGUGGGAAACAUUUUUGAAUGAUAUUAAAAUGUGGGAAACAGUGCAUAAUUUUGUAGAAAAAGAGAAUCUGUUUAAAAACAAUGGAAUGUCAUAUUUCUGUGAAAUCCUCAAAAGGAGGCAGAAGCAAGUGUCAUUGGAUACAUUCUUUAUUAAAG
rnacentral:lncRNA from 1 species